UCGUGGAGUGAUUUGUCAGGUUAAUUCCCUUAACGAACGAGACCUUAACCUGCUAAAUAGGGGGGACUCUAUUUCAGAGUUACUCCUUCUUAGAGGGACUACGGUGCUUUUAAGCCCGUGGAAGUGUGAGGCAAUAACA
rnacentral:rRNA from 1 species